rnacentral:rRNA from 1 species
UACGUAGGUGACAAGCGUUGUCCGGAUUUACUGGGCGUAAAGAGCGCGCAGGCGGUCGAUCAAGUCGAGUGUGAAAGCCCCCGGCUCAACUGGGGAGGGGCAUUCGAUACUGAUCGACUCGAAGGCAGGAGAGGGUAGUGGAAUUCCCGGUGUAGUGGUGAAAUGCGUAGAUAUCGGGAGGAACACCAGUGGCGAAGGCGACUACCUGGCCUGUUCUUGACGCUGAGGCGCGAAAGCUAGGGGAGCAAACAGG